rnacentral:rRNA from 1 species
GUCCACGCCCUAAACGAUGUCUACUGGUUGUUGGGUUUCGAACCUUAGUAACGAAGCUAACGCGAGAAGUAGACCGCCUGGGGAGUACGGCCGCAAGGUUAAACUCAAAGGAAUUGACGGGGCCCGCACAAGCGGUGGAUGAUGUGGAUUAAUUCGAUGCAACGCGAAACCUUACCUGGUCUUGACAUGUACGGAAUCCUUUAGAGAUAGAGGAGUGCCUUUCGGGAGCCGUAACACAGGUGCUGCAUGGCUGUCGU